rnacentral:rRNA from 1 species
UACGUAGGGUGCAAGCGUUAAUCGGAAUUACUGGGCGUAAAGCGUGCGCAGGCGGUUGUGUAAGUCUGUCGUGAAAUCCCCGGGCUCAACCUGGGAAUUGCGAUGGAGACUGCACGGCUAGAGUGUGUCAGAGGGGGGUAGAAUUCCACGUGUAGCAGUGAAAUGCGUAGAUAUGCGGAGGAACACCGAUGGCGAAGGCAAUCCCCUGGGCCUGCACUGACGCUCAUGCACGAAAGCGUGGGGAGCAAACAGG